rnacentral:lncRNA from 1 species
AUAGAAAAGAGCAGGGAUGAUGCUCUCCAACUCUGACUGAAAACAGAAACAGUGAAAACAAAUAUGCUAUAUUAAAGAAGCAAUUCUCUUCUCUUUGUGGGUGGUUAACUAGGAAUGUUAGUGCCACUCUUUUCCAGUUCUGAAGUUCAAAGUGUCUGGCUGAAGUUGUCACAGCUGAGAAGUUCAGGCUUCCUUGUAUGCAGCUUCCAUGUUACCGUCUCUGGGGAAACCCAGCUGGGGGAAUGCAAAACCGUAAUCCACAUGGCAUCAGGAGCAGACACUAUGGAGUUUUGUGUCAAGAAAGCACUGACACUACACACUAAUCUGCUAAGGAAGAUGUGCCCUCACUCUGAUAGUUGUGUGCAUCAGGAGUAAGACAUCCAUCUUGGCCCCUCUUCUUCCAAAGGUUCUGCAGUGCACUCUGAAAGCUCUCUUACAACGAACACCUAGGGAGAAGAAGGAAAGGUAAUUGCAGUAUAUCACCAAUAAAAUAAUCAGCUA